GAUGAACGCUGGCGGCGUGCCUAAUACAUGCAAGUCGAGCGAACGGACGAGAAGCUUGCUUCUCUGAUGUUAGCGGCGGACGGGUGAGUAACACGUGGAUAACCUACCUAUAAGACUUGGAUAACUUCGGGAAACCGGAGCUAAUACUGGCUAAUAUUUUGAACCGCAUGGUUCAAAAGUGAAAGACGGUCUUGCUGUCUCUUAUAGAUGGAUCCGCGCUGCAUUAGCUAGUUGGUAAGGUAACGGCUUACCAAGGCAACGAUGCAUAGCCGACCUGAGAGGAUGAUCAGCCACACUGGAACUGAGACACGGUCCAGACUCCUACGGGAGGCAGCAGUAGGGAAUAUUGCGCAAUGGGCGAAAGCCUGACGGAGCAACGCCGCGUGAGUGAAGAAGGUCUUCGGGUCGUAAAACUCUGUUAUUAGGGAAGAACAGAUGUGGAAGUAAAUGUGCACGUCUUGACGGUACCUAAUCAGAAAGCAACGGCUAACUACGUG
rnacentral:rRNA from 1 species